CAGAGACUGCAAGCGUUAUUCGGAGUUCACUGGGCGUAAAGGGUGCGCAGGCGGUUGGGUGUGUCAGAUGUCGGAAAUCCCGAGGCUUAACCUCGGAACUGCGUCUGAAACUACUCGACUAGAGUACUGGAGGAGGGUAACGGAAUUCACGGUGUAGCAGUGAAAUGCGUAGAUAUCGUGAGGAACACCAGAGGCGAAGGCGGUUACCUCGGACAGUUACUGACGCUCAGGCACGAAAGCAUGGGGAGCAAAAGGGAUUAGAUACCCCUGUAGUCCAUGCCCUAAACGGUGCACACUAGGUCUUAGCGGAUUCGACCCCACUAGGGCCCAAGCUAACGCGUUAAGUGUGCCGCCUGAGGACUACGGUCGCAAGACUA
rnacentral:rRNA from 1 species